GGGCUAUACAGUACAGCUGAAGGAUUUAAGCAAGGCAAAUAAGGUAAUAAGAUUACCGUUAAAAAUGAUGCUUGUAGCUGUGCUGUGGAUUGAAGGACUGCUGCUGCUGCUGUUGCUAGGUUGCUUCAGUCGUGUCCGACUUUGUGCGACCCCAUAAAUGGCAGCCCGCCAGGCUCCCCCGUCCCUGGGAUUCUCCAGGCGAGUAACACUGGGGUGGGUUGCCAUUUCCUUCUCCAAUGCAUGAAAGUGAAAAGUGAAAGUGAAUUCGCUCGUGUCCAGCUCUUCAAGACCCCAUGGACUGCAGCCUACCAGGCUACUCUGUCCAUGGGAUUUUCCAGGCAAGAGUACUGGAGUGGGGUGCCAUUGCCUUCUCCGAUGGAAGGACUGGAGAGAAGCAAAGGUGCCUGGUGGGCGAUGGUCCAUAUGGUCACGAAGUCAGACAACAGCUGAAGUGACAGCACGCGUGCAUUCCUUUGGAAGAAAUAGCUGUGACAUAGGCCCUUUCAACCACAUGGAUAAACCCCAAACCCCUUGUCUUGGCACAAUGCCCCUGUGGUCUGGCUCCUUCCUCCAUCUCCAGCCUCCUCUGCUGAUGGGCCUCCACCCUCUGACGGACACUCCGGCUUCUUUCAGUCACUCACAUCUGCCACGCUCUGCCUCCCCAGGACCUUGGCACUUGCUGUGCUUUGCUCUUCUCUGUUGCCUGGUUAUCCCCAGCUCACGGGUCACGUUGCUUCCCAAGCUCGACUUUCUCGGAGAGGCUUUUGCUUACCUCACCAGCCAGACCCCCCUCCUCCGGACGGUCUCUCACAGCCCAGCAAGCUGCCCUACGCUUCCUGCAGGCACAACCGUGGAUUCCGCAGGGUUUUGUCAAUGGCGGCCUAUCUUGGGUGCUAGCCAGCCACGUGUGGCUUUGUCCCCUGCAGUAUUCCCGGGGAUUGGUGCAGUGCCUGUCACGGAGUGGGCGCUCAGUAAAGUUUGGUGAGCGUGUGAAGAAGCAUGUAGUGUUCGUGAAGGUUAUACCUGGGUGUUGGGGGGGUGGGUCUCUCCAGCACCAAAGGCCAGGGAUAUAUGACAGAAAAACGAUGUCAUGGGCCCCUCACACUGUCUGCAUUAUGUGUCCACUGUACAGAUGGUGAGGUCGAGGCUCAGGAAGGUUAAGUGAUGUCCCCAAGGUCGCCAGUCUUGUCAGGGGCAAUCUGGGCCUGAGGCCAGAGCUGGUUAACAUGGAC
ensembl:lncRNA